AUGAACGCUAGCGGCAGGCUUAAUACAUGCAAGUCGAACGGGAUUCAGUGUAGCAAUACAUUGAUGAGAGUGGCGCACGGGUGCGUAACGCGUAUGCAACCUACCUUUAACAGGGGAAUAGCCCCGAGAAAUCGGGAUUAAUGUCCCAUAACAUUAAGAUGUGGCAUCACAAUUUAAUCAAAGCUGAGGCGGUUAAAGAUGGGCAUGCGUGACAUUAGCUAGUUGGUGAGGUAACGGCUCACCAAGGCCACGAUGUCUAGGGGUCCUGAGAGGGUUAUCCCCCACACUGGUACUGAGACACGGACCAGACUCCUACGGGAGGCAGCAGUAAGGAAUAUUGGUCAAUGGGCGCAAGCCUGAACCAGCCAUGCCGCGUGCAGGAAGACGGCCCUAUGGGUUGUAAACUUCUUUUCUGUUAGAAGAAUAAGCCCGUCGUGACGGGUGAUGCCGGUAUAGCAGGAAUAAGCAUCGGCUAACUCCGUG
rnacentral:rRNA from 1 species